AAUCAACGCUGGCGGCGUGCCUAACACAUGCAAGUCGAACGCGAAAGGGGCUUCGGCCCUGAGUAGAGUGGCAAACGGGUGAGUAACACGUGGGUGACCUGCCUCAGAGUGGGGGAUAACGUCCCGAAAGGGACGCUAAUACCGCAUAACAUCCUGCCUUUGGAAAGGCGGAGAUCAAAGCCGGGGAUCGCAAGACCUGGCGCUUGGAGAGGGGCCCGCGUCUGAUUAGCUAGUUGGAGGGUAAUGGCCUACCAAGGCAACGAUCAGUAGCCGGCCUGAGAGGGCGGACGGCCACACUGGGACUGAGACACGGCCCAGACUCCUACGGGAGGCAGCAGUGGGGAAUUGUUCGCAAUGGGCGCAAGCCUGACGACGCAACGCCGCGUGGAGGAUGAAGUAUUUUCGGAUCGUAAACUCCUGUCGAGCGGGACGAACACCUGCCGGGC
rnacentral:rRNA from 1 species